rnacentral:rRNA from 1 species
UACGGGAGGCCAGCAGUGGGGAAUAUUGCACAAUGGGCGCAAGCCUGAUGCAGCCAUGCCGCGUGUACGAAGAAGGCCUUCGGGUUGUAAAGUACUUUCAGUCGUGAGGAAGGUGUUAAGGUUAAUAACCUUAGCAAUUGACGUUAGCGACAGAAGAAGCACCGGCUAACUCCGUGCCAGCAGCCGCGGUAAUACGGAGGGUGCGAGCGUUAAUCGGAAUUACUGGGCGUAAAGGGCACGCAGGCGGUUAAUUAAGUUGGAUGUGAAAUCCCCGGGCUUAACCUGGGAAUGGCAUUCAAGACUGGUUAGCUAGAGUCUUGUAGAGGGGGUAGAAUUCCGAUGUGUAGCGGUGAAAUGCGUAGAGAUGUGGAGGAAUACCGGUGGCGAAGGCGGCCCCUGGACAAAGACUGACGCUCAUGUGCGAAAGCGUGGGGAGCAAACAGGGAUUAGAUACC